rnacentral:rRNA from 1 species
GCAGCUGAGUCUGUAGAGGGAGUAGAAUCAGNUGUAGCGNGAAUGCGUANNNAUNGNGAANNNNNNNANGNNCCCNGANGAGACUGACNUCAGGUGCGAAAGCGNNGGGAGCAACAGAUUAGAUACCNGUAGUCCACGCGUAAACGAUGUCGACUGAANUUGUGCCCUUGAGCGUGACUUCCGAGCUAACGCGUUAAGUCGACCGCUAAGGGAGUACGGCCGCAAGGUUAAAACUCAAAUGAAUUGACGAGGGCCCGCACAAGCGGUGGAGCAUGUGGUUUAAUUCGAUGCAACGCGAAGAACCUUACCUGGUCUUGACAUCCACGGAAGUUUUCAGAGAUGAGAAUGUGCCUUCGGGAACCGUGAGACAGGUGCUGCAUGGCUGUCGUCAGCUCGUGUUGUGAAAUGUUGGGUUAAGUCCCGCAACGAGCGCAACCCUUAUCCUUUGUUGCCAGCGGUCCGGCCGGGAACUCAAAGGAGACUGCCAGUGAUAAACUGGAGGAAGGUGGGGAUGACGUCAAGUCAUCAUGGCCCUUACGACCAGGGCUACACACGUGCUACAAUGGCGCAUACAAAGAGAAGCGACCUCGCGAGAGCAAGCGGACCUCAUAAAGUGCGUCGUAGUCCGGAUUGGAGUCUGCAACUCGACUCCAUGAAGUCGGAAUCGCUAGUAAUCGUGGAUCAGAAUGCCACGGUGAAUACGUUCCCGGGCCUUGUACACACCGCCCGUCACACCAUGGGAGUGGGUUGCAAAAGAAGUAGGUAGCUUAACCUUCGGGAGGGCGCUUACCACUUUGUGAUUCAUGACUGGGGUGAAGUCGUAACAAGGUAACCGUAGGGGAACCUGCGGCUGGAUCACCUCCUU